rnacentral:rRNA from 1 species
CGGUAAUUCCUGCUCCAAUAGCGUAUACUAAAGUUGUUGCAGUUAAAAAGCUCGUAGUUGGAUUUCUGCGGGGACGGAGCGGCCGGACGCAACUUGCGUCUCGAGCUAGCGCUUUCCCCGCAUCCUGCCGCGAACCGUGCUACCAUUAGUUUGGUGGCGCUGGGGAUCGGCUCGAUUACUUUGAGAAAAAUAGAGUGUUCAAAGCAGGCCACACGCCUUGAAUAAGUUAGCAUGGAAUAAUGACUAAGGACUUUGGUUCUUUUCGUUGGUGUUCGGGACUGAAGUAAUGAUUGAUAGGGACAGUUGGGGCGGUCCGUAUUCCAAAGCGAGAGGUGAAAUUCUUAGACCUUCGGAAGACGAACAGCUGCGAAAGCGUUCCGCAAGGAUGUUCCCUUUGAUCAAGAACGAAAGUUGGGGGAUCGAAGACGAUCAGAUACCGUCGUAGUCUCAACUAUAAACUAUACCAGCUAGGGAUCGGCCAACGUUUAAUUAUUCGACUUGGUCGGCACCUUAUGAGAAAUCAUAGCAUCUGGGUUCCGGGGGGAGUAUGGUCGCAAGGCUGAAACUUAAAGGAAUUGACGGAAGGGCACCACCAGGCGUGGAGCCUGUGGCUUAAUUUGACUCAACACGGGAAAACUUACCAGGUCCAGACAUAGGAAGGAUUGACAGAUUGAUAGCUCUUUCUUGAUUCUGUGGGUGGUGGUGCAUGGCCGUUUUUAGUCGGUGAAGUGAUUUGUCUGCUUAAUUGCGUUAACGGACGAGACCCCAGCCUGCUAAAUAGCGCGGCCGAGCUUUGCUCGGUACGAGCUUCUUAGAGGGACCAUGAUGCGCGAUAGCACAAGGAAGUUUGGGGCAACAACAGGUCUGUGAUGCCCUUAGAUGUUCUGGGCCGCACACGGGCUACACUGGCGCCUGCAACGAGCAUAUCAGCUGGCCCGAGAGGGUCUUGGCUAAUCUUUGGAACCGGCGCCGUGCUUGGGAUUGACCAUUGCAAUUGUUGGUCAUGCAACGAGGAAUGCCUUGUAAACGCGAGUCAUCAGCUCGCAUUGAAUACGUCCCUGCCCUUUGUACACACCGCCCGUCGCUCCUACCGAUGAAUGUUCCGAUGAAAUUUUCGGAGAGCGCCGGAGAACGGGGCUCUGCCCUGCAGAACUGGAGGCUCAAAGUCACUUAAAUCUGAACAUUUCGAGGAAGGAGAAGUCGUAACAAGGUAACC